GACGAACGCUGGCGGCGUGCUUAACACAUGCAAGUCGAACGGAAAGGCCCUGCUUGCAGGGUACUCGAGUGGCGAACGGGUGAGUAACACGUGGGUGAUCUGCCCUGCACUUCGGGAUAAGCUUGGGAAACUGGGUCUAAUACCGGAUAGGAGCCAUCUUUAGUGUGGUGGUUGGAAAGUUUUUUCGGUGUAGGAUGAGCUCGCGGCCUAUCAGCUUGUUGGUGGGGUAAUGGCCUACCAAGGCGGCGACGGGUAGCCGGCCUGAGAGGGUGUACGGCCACAUUGGGACUGAGAUACGGCCCAGACUCCUACGGGAGGCAGCAGUGGGGAAUAUUGCACAAUGGGCGCAAGCCUGAUGCAGCGACGCCGCGUGGGGGAUGAAGGCCUUCGGGUGGAACUCCUUUCGCUAGGGACGAAGCUUUUUGUGACGGUACCUAGAUAAGAAGCACCGGCUAACUACGUG
rnacentral:rRNA from 1 species